CACAACCAUCUGUAAUGGGAUCUGAUGUUCUCUUCUGGUCUAUCUGAAGACAGCUACAGUGUACUCAUAUAUAAUAAAUGAAUAAAUCUUUAAAAAAAAAACUAGAAAAGAAAGCAUAUACACAAAAUGUUAGAAAUACAGAAGGGCAAAAAGAAAAAACGACCAGAUGCUGACCUCCUGAGGUCACACCCCAGCUAUGGCAUCACAAUGGGAGCACGCUUAGCAGUCAUGAGAAACAAACACUCCACUCCAGGGAAAAGAGCUGAUGGUGAUGAACUGCAGGUGGAAACACGCCAGCAGACUGACACAGCUGUACGGCCAGCAACUCCAGCGCAGCCACAUUGUCCUCAGGACAUGCAAUUCCCACAGGAUAAGGAGGGGUCUCAGGACUGACCUCAGGUGAAGUUACAGUACCUGUGGUGUGUCUCCCAGCCAUCAUGAGCCUACUGCCCUCACCCAGGAGCCCCGCAGGCCACACAGACGACACCAAAUUGGAAUAUGCAAAUCAAUGCCUAAACCAAACCAAACCAUGGUGUCCUCACUGUCUUCAGAUCCACACGUCCCAAUAAUGCCAUCUGACUCGUCACCAGCUGUGUUGUGGCACCAGGAGCCAUCCCUGACAUCUCUCAGUGCACAGCUACCUUACGGUGUGAUGCUCGAGCCAAUCUUCUAGGGUCAUGUCAGACAGCUAAUCAACAACAACAAAAGGUUAUCCUUGCCUUGUUUAGACAGUGAAGGAAAACUGCUCACUCAGGACAAUGCUACCUGGAGUUUUCAUAUCUGCCCUUUAUGUUGAGGUGUGUUGUUUUCUGUCUAAUUUGCUCAGAAUUGGUCAUUGAGGGUUGCUGGAUGUCA